UUGAUCUCCGUUACCACGGUAAUCAAUGUAGGUGAUGUUAGCCCUCACGAUCGUUGGUAACAUUGUUACUGGUUUAAGACCUGGAGAGAGAAUCUCGCGAAGGUCGCUCGUAUGUUGAAUCCUUCGGGAAGACGGAAAGGGACGGUCAGAGCCAUUGCCGACCGCUAGAGUGGGACGGGAACUCAGAUCUUUAAAGAUCCGAAGAAGCCCGAGGCAAUCUCCGGGAAACGGCGUGCCAAAAGUACGUCUGGGGCCACCUUCCCCGUUCUGAGGAAGCUAGUACUCGUUCACUUUGUCCCAGACCUUUGUGAAGUGUGGAGUGCGCAGACUUUUAUCCCGGGUUCCCCUGUCCAGUCCUGAGAUCUCGACAAGGUUAGGAUCGUGUGUGUGUGAAGAAGUGAACUUUUGUGCGGCCUAGCUAGAGAUCAGUUCGUUGGCUUCGCUUCUUUCACCCUACCAGCCAAGCAGCACCAGUAGGAGUACGAGCGCGCGUCCACCACCGCCCCGCAUCGAGUGUGGGACAAGUUUGACCUGGCACACGCUACAUCGCCAGAAGAGACGAGCCGUCAACAUCUCGUCUGGAGGCGGUUCUAUCCGCCCACGUGCUGGCCCGGAAAGCCAAGUUCCGGCCCGCGCAACUUCAUCAAAGUCGACCACGCAACCGCAGGUCGAACCGGCAGAGUCGUCCGCGCCGUCCGCGAGCACGCGGUAAGGAACAACAGCAGCAGCAUCAUCAAGUAACAGGAGCAACAGCAGCAGUCCGGUGAGUCCGUUCUAUUUGGGCAAGUGAAGGGUGACGGCCACAGAAGGCGUCACGAACGUUUUUCCGUUCCGGCUGCGGCCGUAGAGCGGACGCCAUUUUGAUGGAGGGCGUCCAUUUUGUUUGAGCGCGUGUUGACCAUGCGCCCGGAGUGUGACGGCUUUUAUUGAUACGCCCCACACAUCCACGACAUCGCACUCUAGUGCCUUUUGUCUGCCGCAGUCCGCUUGACUGCCGGUGACGUCAGCGAUCAGCUGUUCCAGCUGACGAGCUGAAGAUUUGGUAGAGGUUUGAGCACAAAAGCACGGGGUAACAGAAGAACGAAGUACAGACAGUAGGGAGAGCAAACGCACACA